AGUCGCCACGGGAAUACGUAGGUGGCAAGCGUUGUCCGGAAUUAUUGGGCGUAAAGGGCUCGCAGGCGGUUUCUUAAGUCUGAUGUGAAAGCCCCCGGCUCAACCGGGGAGGGUCAUUGGAAACUGGGAAACUUGAGUGCAGAAGAGAAGAGUGGAAUUCCACGUGUAGCGGUGAAAUGCGUAGAGAUGUGGAGGAACACCAGUGGCGAAGGCGACUCUCUGGUCUGUAACUGACGCUGAGGAGCGAAAGCGUGGGGAGCGAACAGGAUUAGAUACCCCCGUAGUCCCUGUCUCUUAUACC
rnacentral:rRNA from 1 species